rnacentral:rRNA from 1 species
UACGAAGGGGGGCUAGCGUUGUUCGGAAUUACUGGGCGUAAAGGGCGCGCAGGCGGCUCUUCAAGUCAGAUGUGAAAGCCCCGGGCUCAACCUGGGAACUGCAUUUGAGACUGGAGAGCUUGAGUUCGGGAGAGGAGAGCGGAAUUCCCAGUGUAGAGGUGAAAUUCGUAGAUAUUGGGAAGAACACCAGUGGCGAAGGCGGGCAUCUGGGCCAACACUGACGCUGAGGCGCGAAAGCUAGGGGAGCAAACAGG